UUCCAAAAACAAAAAAACUGAUGAAAGUGGUAUUCCCCGAAACCGGCAGAACGCGGUGAAAAGAAUUUUGAGUGGGGUCAUCAUCAGGCUGCUACUGGAGUUGGUGUAGGAAGAAGCAGGAAUAGAUGAGGGCAUGUUUUACCUAUGACGCAGGGUCUUAGUGUGCAGUUACAAAGUGCUAAAUUGACUGGAAUAAAGAAAUGCGUAGAAUAUAAGGACGAAAUUAACUAAAUAUGAAGAAAGUGACAGCGAAAUAAGUGAGAGCUUUUUAUGUGAAUGUAUUUUGACAGGAAUUUCAGUUUGUGAACUUCUCCAGAAAGAAAGAGACAACCGGGGGAUACUCAAAAGCUUUCAGCUUCUCUUUAUCCCGCUAGCGCAGAGCUAAUUAAUGGUUCUGAUGGGCGUGCACGAAAGUAUCGAGAAAUGAUGAUAAGUUGUUGGUUGUGAUCUUCUGAGCUGGAGAGUUGAGAAGAAGAUGAGCAGGUGAAGAACACAGGACGAGGCAAACCAGAUCCGGAGAGAGAGAAAGAAA